rnacentral:rRNA from 1 species
CACCAAGCCUUCGAUGGAUAGGGGUUCUGAGAGGAAGGUCCCCCACAUUGGAACUGAGACACGGUCCAAACUCCUACGGGAGGCAGCAGUGAGGAAUAUUGGUCAAUGGGCGCGAGCCUGAACCAGCCAAGUAGCGUGAAGGAUGACUGCCCUAUGGGUUGUAAACUUCUUUUAUAUUAGAAUAAAGUGCAGUAUGUAUACUGUUUUGUAUGUAUAAUAUGAAUAAGGAUCGGCUAACUCCGUGCCAGCAGCCGCGGUAAUACGGAGGAUCCGAGCGUUAUCCGGAUUUAUUGGGUUUAAAGGGAGCGUAGGUGGACUGGUAAGUCAGUUGUGAAAGUUUGCGGCUCAACCGUAAAAUUGCAGUUGAUACUGUCAGUCUUGAGUACAGUAGAGGUGGGCGGAAUUCGUGGUGUAGCGGUGAAAUGCUUAGAUAUCACGAAGAACUCCGAUUGCGAAGGCAGCUCACUGGACUGCAACUGACACUGAUGCUCGAAAGUGUGGGUAUCAAACAGGAUUAGAUACCCUGGUAGUCCACACAGUAAACGAUGAAUACUCGCUGUUUGCGAUAUACAGUAAGCGGCCAAGCGAAAGCAUUAAGUAUUCCACCUGGGGAGUACGCCGGCAACGGUGAAACUCAAAGGAAUUGACGGGGGCCCGCACAAGCGGAGGAACAUGUGGUUUAAUUCGAUGAUACGCGAGGAACCUUACCCGGGCUUAAAUUGCAGUGGAAUGAUGUGGAAACAUGUCAGUGAGCAAUCACCGCUGUGAAGGUGCUGCAUGGUUGUCGUCAGCUCGUGCCGUGAGGUGUCGGCUUAAGUGCCAUAACGAGCGCAACCCUUAUCUUCAGUUACUAACAGGUCAUGCUGAGGACUCUGGAGAGACUGCCGUCGUAAGAUGUGAGGAAGGUGGGGAUGACGUCAAAUCAGCACGGCCCUUACGUCCGGGGCUACACACGUGUUACAAUGGGGGGUACAGAAGGCAGCUACCUGGUGACAGGAUGCUAAUCCCAAAAGCCUCUCUCAGUUCGGAUCGAAGUCUGCAACCCGACUUCGUGAAGCUGGAUUCGCUAGUAAUCGCGCAUCAGCCACGGCGCGGUGAAUACGUUCCCGGGCCUUGUACACACCGCCCGUCAAGCCAUGGGAGCCGGGGGUACCUGAAGUACGUAACCGCAAGGAGCGUCCUAGGGUAAAACUGGUGACUGGGGCUAAGUCGUAACAAGGUAGCCGUACCGGAAGGUGCGGCUGGAACACCUCCUUU